AAAAAUAACUUAUUGUAUAUUGUUUUUUUUAUCUACAGGAAGACACAUUCUGUCGACUUAUCUUCAUGCACAUUGGAAGAUUAUUUGUGAUUUGUCUCUAUUGUCACAGUCAUUUUAGAGCGGUUUUUUUUUAACAAGAGGCUUCAAAGAGUCUUGCUCGCUCAAUUUGAUGAAUAUUGUUUACCAACAAUAUACCAGAUGUUAAAAGUAAGUCAAUUUCGGAAGAUGAAAUGAAACUGGUCACCUUAAAAGAGCAAGAGCGUUUUUGUUUUUGUAUUUUUCAUGGUCAGUUAAGCUAAAAAUAUAAUUUUCCACGAAAUUUCAAUAAUAUCUAAUCAUCAAUUAGUGUGUAUAGUUUUAAAACCAUUUGGACUUGGAGCUUUAAUAUUUUUCUAAUUCUUCAAUUAGAAUCUAACUAUAUUCCUUUUGAUGCCACGUUUUUCUCUUUAUCGAACUACCAUAUAGAUCUUUUGUACACCCUAUGUUUCAAUAUUUUUGAUAUGUAUGGUCUUUGAGUUUAACGGGAAAAGUUGAAUAUAUGACUUUUCAUAUAGUUUAAAUGGGCCACCGAAUCCGUCAUGUUUGCCCCUCUUCCAACAUUAAGGGUCAUAGUACAGUUUUUUGUAAAUUGUCAAAAGAUUCCGCCUAGUAGCUAACAUCAAAUGAUCUUUUUUGCAAAUGGCCCCCCAAUCUUCCUGCAAAGUUUCAAAGUAUUUUGCAUUGUUGUUUCAGACAUGAUUCUUUAAAUCUUUCAACCAAAAUCGAAGAUUUCCUUGAACGGCUAUAUUUUUUUUUCUUUAUCCGAAACUAAAUAGUGUAUGUUCAUUUGUGUUACUACGUCUUUUGAUUGAGUUAAGCCAUUCCAAUUGAUAUUUUUUUGGUGUGUCUUUCCAUUAUGGAUGUAACAGGGGCACUCAUUUUUUGCUGACAAGGGUGAAGGUUUGGUACCAUUAAAACGUUAAAUCCGCUGCAAUUGUUUGCACCUAUCCUAAGUCAGGAAUCUGAUGUUCAGUAGUUGUCGUUUGUUGGUGUGGUUCAUAAGUGUUACUCGUGUCUCGUGUUUUUUUUUUUUUUUUUAUAUUUAUAGAUUAGACCGUUGGUUUUCUCGUUUGAAUGGUUUUACAGUAGUAUUUUUUUUUUGGGGGGGGGGGCCUUUAUAGCUUACUGCAUGUUCGGUGUUAGCCAAGGCUUCGUGUUGGAGACCGUACCUUGAAGUAUAAUGGUUUACUUUUAAACAUUGUGACAUCUUCCUUUAUCUAUUUAUAAGCAUCGUUUGGAGUAGACUUCAUACACCAUUCGUAACAAGUCUGCUUUUAAAAAUUGACGAUGUAGUUGCAGUUAAAAUAGUAAAAUCUAAUUCGUCUAGGAGUUCAAUGUGUACUAUUUUACACCAAUGCAACAAUGUUAUGAAUAUCGUUCGAAGAGAGUUUCAAUCAUCCUGCAAAUUUCAAAGCAUUUUGUCUUGUACAGGCGUUCAUGUUUUUUAUUGUAUCGUAACCAAAUGGUAUCAGAGAGGAAGAUGAAUACGAGAAAAAAGGACAACAAGCGCCAAGUUAUGACAAUAGACCACUUAGUCCUAAGGUCAAAUGAGCUAAAACAGAAAGAAAAAUGAUUUUUUUCUGAAGAACAUUUCUAGGAAUCAAAGUACUUCAAGAGUAAAAUACUUGAUCAUGGUAUAUAGGAAAAUAGAUAUAAGAAGAUGUGAUAUGACUGCAAUGAGAAAACUCCCCAGUAGACUUCAACACGGAUCCUUUCUCUCUUACCGAACAGCAAGCGAUAAAGGGCCAAAAAAACGACUAGUGUGUAAAACCAUUCAGACAGAAAAAAAUAUCAUAAGAUUAAAAAAAAGUAAUUCAUAACGAGUUUCUGGUGACACUACUCCUAUUUUUACGUUUUAAUUUUACAAGAAAUCUUCAAUAGUUUCUGUAUUGAAACACAUGUAUGAUUUAUCACUUACACUUUUGUUUCAAUAAUCUUUCCUUCUCAGAACGCUAUAUAAUGUUUUUAUUUUAAUGAAAAUAAUGUUUUUCUGAGUAUCUGUCCUUUGGAUUAUUACGUGUAUCCUACUCAGCUGUUAAAUACCAAUAUGCAGGACACUCUGUAUCUUACUGAUAUUUGGUACACUUUUUCUGCAUUCAAAUAAAGAACUGAACAUGCGAUCAAAAUAAUUAAAAUGCACACUUUAAGUUUUUUACAGGGACAAUACAUGUGAAUAGUUGAGAAGCCUCGUAUAGUGGGUACCCGCACGGAUAGACACUUCAUUUUGUUAGAAUACAUAAGCCGUCAAUACAAAUAUUGAAUAUUAGUAUCACGUAUUAUUCCAACUACAUAUGUAUAUUUAUGAAUUUGUCAAACAAUUUUAACAGAAGUUAUUUAUUUUUAUAUAUGUCAGAACUGUGGAAAUUGAUGUGUAAUCAAUAUGACUCUCCCGCGCUAAACAUCAAUUCUAUGAAUAAAGGAACCAGUCGGCAAGAAGAGGAGCCCAGAAUGUUUCAAAUAUUUCAAACAAAACAUCUCGAAUUUGGUAUCCUAAUUAAAAAAAAUCAUGAUUUAACAUCGAAGAACCUUCAAUAGGAAAGUUCAAAACCAACAAAUUAAAGCCAAAAACAGAAAACACAUGAGAGCAUCGCAAUCAAAAAUGCCUUCACAGAACAGCAAUAUCCUUCUUGAAAUAGAGGUAGUAGAUAUUUUCUCCUCACUUGUUUCACUCGCGGUGUGAACAUAUAAAGGUUGUCGAUUCCUACUUAAAUUUGAAUAAUUAAAAGUGUAAAUAUCAUAUACUCAUAACAUUUUUCGACAGUUUUGCGCAUCUACAUGAUCUUGAAAGUGAGGAUCUGUUUGUAGCAUUUGGAUACAAAAUUGCGUGUUUUCAGUCAAGUUUUGCAAUCAAGGACGUCGCUUGCCAAAGUUAUUUAGAAGUCUUGUGUGAAUCCAAAAGAUGAUGCUUAGCUAUAAUAUGGGUUUUGGCUAAGGAUGUUCUUCUUAUACACACCUGCUCAAGUUAGAAAUAAGCCGUAUUUAGUGUUAGAAUCUCGAAAAACACACAUGUAGCUGAUAUACUUUAUAUUUUAGUGUAGAUCAAAUUGUUCGUUUACAAAGUUAUAAAUCAUAAAACAUUUGUGCUUUUAGAUCCUAUUUGUUCAUACUGUUUGGAUUCUUAUCCAUCCUUAACGUUAAAAAAAUCGGCUGAUGAUGGGAAAAAAAGCACUUCGAACGGAUGAAAAUUAUAAAGUGUUAAUUUCAGACUUUU
rnacentral:lncRNA from 1 species